CGCGUAGGCGGCUUUUUAAGUCAGACGUGAAAUCCCCCGGCUUAACCUGGGAACUGCGUCUGAUACUGGGAAGCUUGAGUUCGGGAGAGGGAUGUAGAAUUCCAGGUGUAGCGGUGAAAUGCGUAGAUAUCUGGAGGAAUACCGGUGGCGAAGGCGGCAUCCUGGACCGAAACUGACGCUGAGGCGCGAAAGCUAGGGGAGCAAACGG
rnacentral:rRNA from 1 species